rnacentral:rRNA from 1 species
GACGAACCGUGCGAGCGUUGUUCGGAUUUACUGGGCGUAAAGGGCGCGUAGGCGGCGCUUCAAGUCGCGUGUGAAAGCCCCGGGCUCAACCUGGGAGGUGCGCGCGAGACUGUGGUGCUGGAGUUCGGGAGAGGAGCGUGGAAUUCCCAGUGUAGAGGUGAAAUUCGUAGAUAUUGGGAAGAACACCGGUGGCGAAGGCGGCGCUCUGGACCGAGACUGACGCUGAGGCGCGAAGGCGUGGGGAGCAAACAGG